rnacentral:lncRNA from 1 species
GUUUUCUCAGGAUGAAUUGACCAAAAGGUUCAGUGUAGUACACACUUUCGCUCUGUGGGCACUUAGCAAAUACUUAUUAACUAAUUGGCUACAAUUCCUCGUCUACUGGUGGGAAAAUGGGGAGGUAAAAUAAAUUAGCUAGACCUCCAUGCUUCCUUAGUCACCCAAAGGAAGAGUUAUUAGUGGCUACAUACAGUGACUAAAAAUAGACAUCUGGUCAGGAAAAUCUGAAGAGAGAGAGACUAUCGGGGCUGCUUUUGGUAAACAGUUACACAGGAUACUUCACAAGAUACGUGAAGAGAGUCUUUGAGGUAAAAUCAAAUCCCUAUUAGGAUAAAUGAUUGAGUGUUCCUGUAAAGAAUUGUUCCCCUGGUUCAAGCAACCAGAUUUCAUUCCCAGAUGAUCAAAAAUGGACUUGAUGAAAUGGAAAAGCACUGAUAGAAACAGCCGUCGAUAUAUAGCUAAGGAUGAUAACAAGCACAACAAGGACUUACAGCAUUUGCUUUGCACCAGACACCAUCUAAAACACUUCACAAAUAUUAACUCAAAGGAACCUAUCAUUUCCACUGCUCAAAAUUACUCCUGAAGGGAUGAGGACACCAGGAUAUGCCACCGGACCACUGAAGGAAUGGUGAUGGUAUGAAGAAAGUAUUUUUAAUGAGCAGAGCCAUUGUUUGCUCUGCUCUGUCCUCACCCCUCAAGAGAAUUUCCCUUAUUAUUAUGAAAACUUUUUAUCUUAAAAGAUAUUACAUGUUAAUGGAACUGUCGUUUAACAAAUGUUUUAUAAGUGUACCAAUCAAGCACAUUGUCGAAAUAAAAGAUAUGAAAUAAGUGAAAAAAA